GCAGAAAUAAGCUAGGAUUCAGUAGUAAAGCAAAUAUUCGAAGCAUAUUAAUCAAGUAGGUCAAGUUACAUUGAAUUAGCAGGGAAGCAAAUAGAGUAUCAUAAACAUGCAAAGGUUUCAUAGUAGCAGGUGAGGAAUCCUUUUUUUAAAAGUUAGGGUUUCAACACCAGUUGAGUUGAGAGAUAGUAAAAUCAGAUAAAUUGUAUAAAAAAAAAAGUCUACAACAAAUCUUUCAAUUGAGUCAAGUACUCAAACAAAUAAUUUUAGAUCAAGAAGACCUAGGGUUUUCA
rnacentral:lncRNA from 1 species